GCAUCUUUUGCGAAAUUACAAUUUGCCAACACCGACCUCUCCUCGAUCAACGUGCGAUCUCCGCAGAUCCGUCCGUCAGAUUUGCGAACGGAUUAUACCGGUGCGAUCAGAACCUCAGAGACAACAAAGCUAUGAUUUCAUUUCACCUCAAACGGUCGCGGAUUCACGACGAAAUCUGACCUUCUCUCCAACAGAAGAAACUACGCACAAAAUACAUAUAAAACACGUAUUUUUGGAUUUUCUCGAAAUCCGUGCGUCAAACUCAAAAUCCGUCAGCGCCAUUAGUUCCAGAAUAGCUGAUCUGAUCGAAACGAGCUAUUGGAUCGCUAUGAACGGAGUCCGGUACGCGCCGAUAGCCAGCUCUACCCCGUGGCUUUACCGAAAAACCGAAGUUACUAUUCACUUAAGUGAAAACUAAUAAUCGCGUAACUACUCCGUUUUAGCUCAGUUUCUCCUGAAACUUGACGAGUGCUUAUGUAAUUAAAUUACACACAUAAACAUCGUCAACUGAGAGUUUAGUUGCACUGUCAAAAUCUCAGUCCUUAUAGGUCAUUAAAAUUUUAUCAAUAAUUGAAUGUGCUC
rnacentral:lncRNA from 1 species